rnacentral:rRNA from 1 species
AUUGAACGCUGGCGGCAUGCUUUACACAUGCAAGUCGAACGGCAGCGCGGGCUUCGGCCUGGCGGCGAGUGGCCAACGGGUGAGUAAUACAUCGGAACGUGCCCAGUUGUGGGGGAUAGCUCGGCGAAAGCCGGAUUAAUACCGCAUACGACCUGAGGGUGAAAGCGGGGGAGCUUCGGACCUCGCGCUAUUGGAGCGGCCGAUGGCAGAUUAGCUAGUUGGUGGGGUAAAGGCCUACCAAGGCGACGAUCUGUAGCUGGUCUGAGAGGACGACCAGCCACACUGGGACUGAGACACGGCCCAGACUCCUACGGGAGGCAGCAGUGGGGAAUUUUGGACAAUGGGCGAAAGCCUGAUCCAGCAAUGCCGCGUGUGUGAUGAAGGCCUUCGGGUUGUAAAGCACUUUUGGCGGGAACGAAAAGGACUGUGCCAAUACCACGGUUCGAUGACGGUACCCGCAGAAUAAGCACCGGCUAACUACGUG